UGUUAUUUUAAAACUGCACUUAAUUUGGUUGUAGAUCGGUUGACAGGAUUAAAAGUCAUUUAUGUAUUUUAAGAAGAAGAGAAAAAGAAAAAAGUUUCCAUUUUUGACUCGUAAAUAUCAUUAAGCGAAUUUGUCGUUCGGUUUAACUGAUUUUACAGGCUUCGACAUUGACUUCGGUGUCUUAUUUUUGUCUCGAAGCCAUCAACAUCCAUAAAUCUUGCACGUCACUAAUGCAACAGCUUAAUUGCCUACGCCUCCGAUCGACUUCAGUACAACGAAAUCUAUUCAGUUUUAUAUGGAUUUCUAAAGUUUUCGUUUCGACACGCGGUAGAUUUAACGAAAUGCGAUUUUCGGCUUUCUUGCCAAGGGGACUGUCUCUCCCUUCCCCAUUUAUCUAUCUCGACUACGGUUUAUUUAUAGUCAAUCGGAGAAGUAGAAAAUCGGUUUGCCCUCUGCCAAAAUAGCUAAGUUGUAUCUUAUGAUGUCCAUAUUGGAAUACGAAAAUGUUUAACACGCUAAUCGCUUCUUUCAAAUCGACACUUGCACGAUAAAGUAAACUUGCAU
rnacentral:lncRNA from 1 species